CUAUAGUCACUCUCCUCCCAGCACUUGAUAUCGAACAAAGCUCAAACGAGGUGGAGAAGUUAUACUUCAGUCGAUUCUCGAAAUAUUGAUAAUAAUGGCCCGUUAUUGGACAAUAAUCGUCUUGCUGGCGAGUAUAUUCAUUGUUGCUGAAGUUGACUCUAAAGAAUCUAAAGAUUGCCUCGUUAAGCGUAACUUCACGGUUCCCCAUCCUGAGGUUCUCAGCUUAGUCAGCUAUAUAUCGAUGCGAUCCUCCGUUAAGUUUGUGUUCUCAUUUCUUGAUAAGAAAUUUAAAGAAACACGGGACGCUGUUAUCCUCACUAACUUUAAGAUCAUAUAUAAUAAGACCCGGAACAGCAUAACCAAAACUUCUAACCAGGAUCUGGCAAAACUCAUCCCUGAAGGCUGGAACCGCAUCAUUGUGACGCUUACUGGAAGAUAUCUCACCGUAACGCUUGUCCAGCCUGAGGGUCACGUGCUCCUCUACACCCAGCACUUCGAUUACGACGUCACAGAGAUUUACGGGGAAGGAGACGUUACACGAUGUUCUGAAGCCGCGCCUGUGUUUUAUGUGCCUGAAGGAGAGGAAGUCCCUGUACAACUCUGGCCAGAAGGCAGCAAGCAGUUUAUUAAACUGCUUCCUGGGAAUUCCACCGAUCUCUAUUUCAAGUUCCCUGGUGAGGCCAAGAACUACAGUGUUCCCUCCAACAGUACCCUUCUAAUCUCCACCAGCUUCCAAGGGGACCAAACUAUGCUAGAAGUGUUCAAGGUGACAGAUAUACCUAUCUUUCAGGAAGGUGACCGGAAGUUGAUAGGGAACAGCACAGUGCCCAUAAACACCAUCAUGAGCCCGAUAUUUGGGGGCGGCCCAGCGCAACUCCGCCUCACUAAAGUACCUGAGUGUUGUAAUUCCUCACUAGCGGCGCCAGUCACCACCCCACCAGCUGUCCCCUGUUGUGUAUUGUCAGCUGUUUUUGGUAUCGUAUGUGUCAUCCUAGUGAUAGUGAUAGUGGCACUUGUCAUAUUGCGCAAACGUGAACUGAAGAAAAGACCAGACAAGAGUAGCAGUGAUGACAUUGAAGCCAACGAUGCGGAUGGAAAUGAACAAAUGGCCCUGAUGAACCAAAACAACAAUGGAAUUACGAAGAAAUUCACGGUACUGGCUUCUCUGAAUGAUUGUAUACCACAGCAAUGAACGACGGGCAAGAGGAAUCUCAACAACUGCCCUGCAUUUCCGAUAACCUACACAACAUAAAAAAUGAAGUGAUGAACCAAAUCAAGCAGCUUCACAACAUAGGGCCUGCACUCAUUGAUUUUAUGGGAACGAUGGAGCAGGAGAAAUGGCAAGCCCUCCUGCAGAGUUUGAAGGAUUACAAUUUGCAGUUCAGAGAAUUGGCCAUUACCAGCUAAAACCUAUCCAUCAACUGUAAGUGUGGGCUCUCCAUUCUUCAGCAAGGAAAUCAUAUAGUAAUCCUUAGUCAUCAGUCGUCAGUCAUGCACCACGUCACCAAGGACUCUGUGGAUUCUAGACGCUCACCCAUUACACCUUUUGUCAUUCUGCCUUAUUGCAUUUAGUGUCCAUCACCUUUAAUGUGGAUGCAUCUUUGAAUUGUAAAAAGAGAAUUAUACAGAAUAUUUGCAAAGUUAAUCAGUACCUGUAUGUAUACAAUAUAGAUUUUAUACUAGCUAAAUCAAUGAGAUUGUGCAAAAAUCAAGCUCAAUUGUGACUCAAACUUUUCCUUGCUAAAUUAAUUUUGGUGGCAAAUUUACCCUUAAAUUUACAGGACAGUUUUCUCUGUUGCUUUAGUGCAUGCUAUUUGACUGAGCCACAUUAGCUACUGCAGUGUUUGCAAAUAAGUUUGUCUAUUACUUUCUUAGUAUAUGUCAAAAGAAGCCACAGAUGUGGCCAGCAAAAGUAACAGUGUGCUUGCUUUCAUUUUGCUCAAAAAAUUUUCUCAAAAGAAUUUAUAUUUAUUAUUUCAAUUUAAGGAAAAACACAAGUGCAAUUUUAGAUUAAGGCAAAAUAUUCCAGUACAGUGUCACAAGACGAGACUGAAUUUGAAUUGAUAUUUAUAAUUUUAAUUUAAGGUAAAGUGCAAUAGUGCAAUUUUGGUUAAGACAACAUUCUAGUGCAAUGUCACCACACAGCUCUAAAGAGCCUGAACAAACUUUAAAGUUUUGUAUGUAAUGUGUCCUAACAGAAAGUUAAGUAUAUUCAGUAAUGUACUUCAUACUACUGUGGCUCUUCUCCAAGCUAAGAACCAUUCCAAAAGGGAUAUGAUCUGACUCACUAGUAAAUUAUGAAUAAAUUGAAUAAGAUGUACAAAAA
rnacentral:misc_RNA from 1 species